CUCACUUCCAUUUCCUCUUGCAGGUUCUGCUUUCCUUUACAAUGGCCGAUAGAGUCCACCCCCGUGACUCGCCUCCAUCAUCUACAGAGUAUAAGCCGACGCCACCAUCCUCUUCGGAGCACCACCCACAGUCUCCCAUGAAACCUCCAGCUCCUUUGCCUGAGAAACCUAUUCCCCCACCUGGAACCUAUGUCAUCAAGAUCCCAAAGGACCAGGUCUAUCGUGUCCCUCCUCCAGAAAAUGCCAAGCGCUACGAGAAACUCUCUCGCAAGAAGCCUAGUCGCAGCGCCUGCCGCUGCUGUUUUUGCUGGUUCCUUGGCCUCAUUCUUACCCUUAUUAUCCUCGCCGGCAUCGCCGCUGGUGUCUUGUACCUUGUAUUCCGGCCCAAAGCUCCUAAGUACUCGAUUGAUUCUUUAUCCAUUAAAGGUUUCAAUCUGUCUUCAUCAGCACCUCUCGCGCCGGAAUUUGACGUCACUGUUAGAGCCGACAACCCUAACAAAAAGAUCGGGAUUGAUUACAGGUCAGGAAGCUCAGUUAAUAUAUAUUACAAUGACGUUAGGCUCUGUAAUGGUAAGCUGCCGGUAUUUUACCAGCCGAGCAAUAACGUGACUGUGUUUUUGACAUCGUUGAAGGGGUCGGGGAUUGAGUUAACGAGUGCAGUACAUAAGGCGUUGAUUGACGGAGAAAAUAAGGGAACGGUGCCGUUUAGUUUGAAAUUGAGGGCGCCGGUAAAGAUCAAGGUGGGGUCAGUUAAGACGUGGACGAUUACCGUUAAAGUUAACUGUGAUUUAACGGUGGAUAAGUUGACGGCGAACGCAAAAAUUGUGUCCAAGGAUUGUGAUUAUGGGGUUGACCUGUGGUAGGAAGGAGGAGGAAUAUCUUUUUCACUUUUUUUUUUCUUUUUUUUUGAAAUCAGCCCUUGCAAAAUAACUGUCCAUUUUGCACAAGAUAUAUCAAACACUGGCUUCUCGUGAUGAAUGGCAUGAUGCUAAUACCAAACAAUGACAACAGUAAGGAUCAACAAGAAACAAUAAACAUAUGAGUUAAACAACCAAACAAAAUUUUGGAAUAAGCGCGAGAUAAGAGAAAUCCCACCUCCCCAUUGCAUCAUAGGUUGCAGCAAGAUUGCUAUACACUCCAAGAGUAUCCAAGUGACACGAGCCAUACUCCUGCUCUAAAAUCUCCCUUGCUUCUUCAAACAAUUCAGCUGCCUUAUCUAUCUUGUACUGUUGCACACUGGCCAACCCCAGCUGGUUCAACACAAUUCCAAAGAAGGCUGAUUUACUAUCCCCACUGGCCCGAAGCUUUGCUACACUACUCUCAAAAGAGCUUUGAGCUUCUCCAUACCUCCCAACCAUGUAAAACAUCACUCCCAUCUGUGCUUCUAUUCCUGCAAUUGUGCUAUGCUGUCCAGGCCGGUCUUCCAGCAACUUCAUUGCCUCGUUCAAGAGCUUCAAUGCCUCCUCAGG
rnacentral:misc_RNA from 1 species